rnacentral:lncRNA from 1 species
AAUUCUACAAAACUAACAAAAAUGUGAAAUAACUAUUCAAAACAAAAUAAAUUAAACCUAAUUGCAUUUAUACAAAAUAGUGAGAAUAAAAGUGUGUAAUAACAUCAAAACUUGGUAAAAGAGACCAAUAAAUUGAUAUAAAAAGUAGUACUAAUUGGUCCCUAACAUGCACCAUCCUUGCGCCUAGCGCGCCUACCCUACUAUGCCAACUCUUCCCAACAAGUUUUUCUUUCUCAUCAACCAAUGCUUGCAUAUCUUCCACAUGACCUU